rnacentral:rRNA from 1 species
GAUAGUGAACCAGUACCGUGAGGGAAAGGCGAAAAGAACCCCGGCGAGGGGAGUGAAAAAGAACCUGAAACCGUGUACGUACAAGCAGUGGGAGCACCCUUCGGGGUGUGACUGCGUACCUUUUGUAUAAUGGGUCAGCGACUUAUAUUCUGUAGCAAGGUUAACCGUAUAGGGGAGCCGUAGGGAAACCGAGUCUUAACCGGGCGUUAAGUUGCAGGGUAUAGACCCGAAACCCGGUGAUCUAGCCAUGGGCAGGUUGAAGGUUGGGUAACACUAACUGGAGGACCGAACCGACUAAUGUUGAAAAAUUAGCGGAUGACCUGUGGCUGGGGGUGAAAGGCCAAUCAAACCGGGAGAUAGCUGGUUCUCCCCGAAAGCUAUUUAGGUAGCGCCUCGUGAAUUCAUCUCCGGGGGUAGAGCACUGUUUCGGCUAGGGGGCCAUCCCGGCUUACCAACCCGAUGCAAACUGCGAAUACCGGAGAAUGUUAUCACGGGAGACACACGGCGGGUGCUAACGUCCGUCGUGAAGAGGGAAACAACCCAGACCGCCAGCUAAGGUCCCAAAGUCAUGGUUAAGUGGGAAACGAUGUGGGAAGGCCCAGACAGCCAGGAUGUUGGCUUAGAAGCAGCCAUCAUUUAAAGAAAGCGUAAUAGCUCACUGGUCGAGUCGGCCUGCGCGGAAGAUGUAACGGGGCUAAACCAU